GGGAACGAGCGAGCCAGCGAGCAGGCAGGCUGGCGGGCGGGCACCUCGGAGGAGGGGCGGGGUCCAGAAACCCGAGCCGGGACCGCCGCUGCCGGCGGGACUGGAGCUGUAGCCGGGGCAGAGCCGGCUCGUCAUUGGAUCCGAGUCCCCAGUUCUGCCGAAGCGUCAACAUGGAGGAAGAAGACUUCGUUCCUGGCGACCUGUCCCUACAAGAACGUCAGGAACUGGAGAACAUCCGUCGCCGGAAACAGGAACUAUUGGCUGACAUUCAGCGUCUGAAGGAUGAGAUAGCAGAAGUGACGAAUGAAAUUGAGAGCCUGGGAUCCACAGAAGAGAGGAAAAACAUGCAGAGGAAUAAGCAGGUAGCCAUGGGCAGGAAAAAGUUCAAUAUGGAUCCCAAAAAGGGGAUCCAAUUUUUAAUAGAGAAUGACCUGCUGAAGAACACUUGUGAAGAUAUUGCACAGUUCCUGUACAAAGGCGAAGGGCUCAACAAAACCGCUAUUGGAGACUAUCUGGGUGAAAGAGAUGAAUUUAAUAUUCAAGUCCUUCAUGCUUUUGUGGAAUUGCAUGAAUUCACUGAUCUUAAUCUUGUCCAGGCACUACGGCAGUUUCUGUGGAGCUUUCGUCUUCCAGGAGAGGCACAGAAGAUUGAUCGAAUGAUGGAGGCUUUUGCACAGCGAUAUUGUCAAUGCAAUAAUGGAGUCUUUCAAUCCACAGACACUUGCUAUGUUCUCUCAUUUGCCAUCAUUAUGUUGAAUACCAGUCUUCAUAACCCCAAUGUCAAAGAUAAGCCCACAGUGGAGAGGUUCAUUGGCAUGAAUCGAGGUAUUAAUGAUGGAGGUGAUCUGCCAGAGGAGUUGCUUAGGAAUCUCUAUGAGAGCAUAAAAAAUGAACCUUUCAAAAUCCCUGAAGAUGAUGGAAAUGACCUUACUCAUACUUUCUUCAAUCCAGAUCGUGAAGGCUGGCUACUAAAACUUGGUGGCAGGGUAAAGACAUGGAAGAGACGCUGGUUUAUUCUGACUGACAACUGCCUUUACUACUUUGAAUAUACAACGGAUAAGGAGCCUCGUGGAAUUAUUCCUUUAGAGAAUCUAAGUAUCCGGGAGAUAGAGGACUCCAAAAAGCCAAACUGCUUUGAACUUUACAUCCCCGACAAUAAGGAUCAAGUAAUCAAAGCUUGUAAGACUGAGGCUGAUGGUAGAGUGGUGGAGGGAAACCAUACAGUCUAUCGGAUUUCAGCUCCAACUCCUGAGGAAAAGGAGGAAUGGAUGAAAUGCAUCAAAGCAGCCAUCAGCAGGGAUCCUUUCUACGAGAUGUUAGCAACGAGGAAGAAGAAAGUUUCCUCUACCAAGAGACAUUAAAAGCCUGUGCCAGCUAAGCGGGAUCAGAACCUUAACAGUGUGAAGAAUUCUUGAUUUUCCCCCUCUGCCAUUCUACACACGGGGAGAGAGAGGGCUAUGAAGCAGGAGCAUCUUCUGCUUCUUAGCAUUGCCCUGAAUUCCUAAGGACCAGCUUCAGCUUUUCCAAUUUUUUUAAGCAAAUAAAGGGGAGGGAUUGGGUGGGUAGUUAUCAGUUGGGGAGAAGAGGGAAACUGAGCCCUUUUAAGGCAUGGAUUUAUAACUUUUUCUUUGAAAAAGAACAGAAAGCAAAUCAGCUUCCCUGCAAGUCUCUCCACUCAGCAGGUCUGAUAGCAGAGCUUGGAGUCAACCAUUUACCUCUUGGUUAUUUUUCCUGUGAAGAAGCCUUCAAUUCCUGCACCAUAGGGCCUUGUUUAAAGGUUGAAAGAUUUACCAGAGGUCCAAAUGCCAAACCCAGGAAGGAACUAUCCUUGAGGAAUGACCUACAAGAUCCAGUCCAGCUGUGGAUUACUCUGGUAGCCAAAUGUCUUGCAGCAAAAACGUGACUUAUCUAAUGAUUAUGCCAUACCAGAAGUGAAUUUGUUUAGCAAAUAUUUGUAGCAGUAUCUUUAAGUUUAAAACCACUCUCCUCAAAGACUAAAGUGGUAGAGAGAAGAAUCCACCUCCAGCCUAUACUUCAGGUCUUAAUGUAGCUUAUUGGUAUAUAUCCCUUUAUUAAUGCCAUUUGGUGAUAAUUGUUUAUUGACAAUGCCAUGGAGAUAUUAAUUGGUUAACUGAAAAUUGGAGUGCCAAUCACUAACCAGUGAUAUUAGGGAAACACAAUGCAAUAGGAAAUUGAGCCAAUAGCAUUAGAAAAAAAAAAGUUCACUGCCCCUCAGGGUUAUCCUUAGAACCCUAGACAGGGAUUGGGAUAGAGAAAUCUGCAGGCUUGCUCAGGAGACCCAACUCCCCAUUGCUAAUGGAAUACUGUUGGAGUGAGGGUGGAGUGUGCAGGGGAGGCAGGGAGAGGCAUCUCCACCAUACUCAGAGCUUUUGAAUUACCCAGUAACAGGAGUAUCAGGUGACCUGGCAUCAGUUGCAGGUUCAAAAGUUUUAGAUUUCCAUAGCCUUAAUCAAUUCCAGGACCCUGAAUACAACUUCUCUUUUAGGAUUUUAGCACUUUUUUUCCCUCAGGGAAGUUUAAAUAGGUUUUAGACCCCUGACUCAUUAGUAUAGGGAAUUUAUGGACUUGAAUCUUAAAAGGGUUGUCUUUAGCACUGAGAUUAAUUUGUCCCCAAGUGAGGAUGAUUUAUGUCAGAGGAUUUAUGUUAGACCCCAGGUCUUCCUGGCUUUGAGACUAGCUUUCUGAACACUAUACCACAUUGCCUCUCUGAAUUCCAGGAAACAAAUACAACAAAUGUUUAUAAUAUACUUUACCUUCAUUUUAGGCCCAGUUUGAAAGAGAACAUAAGGGGGUAAAGGGAAGGAGAAAUGAGGAAGAGAAACAAGCACAAAGAAGGGAAAAGACAAUCUCAAGAUCUAAAAGUUUUAGUAAGUUCCUAAGCAUCUUAAGCUGUUGGUUAUCUGUUGGAUCAAAGUGUCACCAUCCCUUAUCAUUGCUGUUUGAAACUUCUGAUUAGCCAAGUAACAUAACUGCCAGUUAUUUUUAUAUUUUCAGAAAGAUGAGUAUAUUACUUUAUCGCUGUAGUAGUAGCCAAAAUCAUUGUAAGAUCAUCCCUCAGAUUGGCUGAAUUUGGGCCAAAGGCCAAAAAAAAACAGUUCUUAACCCUUCCAGCUCUGAGCAAAAUGCAAUUCUCCCUCAAGUGCUUGGAGCGUCUUUCCUAUCCACUAGAAGUACCAUGAGGUCCCUGUCAUGUUAUGCUUAUUAAUGUAACACAAAUUAAGCACACUCAGGAACACACAGGGAAGAUGAACAGACUGUUUUUAGAAUGGUAUUUCUUUUGGGCCUCUUGGAAAAUCAAAACCCAGGCCCAUUCUCCUUUAACAUACAAGUAAGAUUUCAUUUUAUUGCCUUGUAGGGCUUAUGUUAACUAUUUCCUAACUGGUUUUCUCUCUGUGAACUUUCAUAUGUGUAUUGUAAUAUAAACCUAAGGUCUUUUGGGGGGUGGAGGGUGAGAGAGAUACAUACAUUCUGUAAAGGUUUUAUCUUCAGACCCUCUUCAAGACAUUGGAAUCUGUAGAAGCACAACACCCCAACUCUUCUACAACUGCUCCAACAAGAAUUUUUUUUAAGUACUAAAUCAAGAAAUGUUAAUAAAAUCCAAAGAGAAACUAAAAGAAAAAAAAUUUACCAGCCUAGGUAUAAACAAAGUGACAUUAGGAAGGGGCUUUCAAAUCUGACACAGGAUUGCUGCAUAGAGAAACCUUCCAGUGGAGACCAAGCGUGAUCCAAAGAAGCCAAAGCCUAGAGCUUUUUGCUAAGGCAGGGAGAUAAAAACUUAUGUCAAGACUAGCAGCAGAUAAAUGUUACUAUGUCACUAUGAGUACAAACUGGAUAUGGGGACCCAGAUCAGGAGGACAAGGAUGAGGACUUGCCAACUCUGGAACAAGCCACUUCAGGCAACAUCAGACCUAGUGUUGGUUGCACCAUGUAUAUUGACCCCAUACAGGGUGCUAGCUAACGAUUUCUGAAAGUAUUUGAAGAACAUAGCACCCAUUACCUAGAAUCUCCCUAAUACUGAUCAGCAACAGAGAUGACUACAUUAUUCCUUUUACAACUGCACAGAAUCUGGCUAGAAACAAUGCUCUAAUUAAGGAAGUAAGGGAGAAAAUAACAUAUGAGAACAUUGAUGAUAAAUAAAUUUUUAUACAACCAGGUUUGAUCAGCACAUAAAUCUGAAGAAGAGAAUAACCCUACAUCAUCUAAAAAAGUUAUUUGCUAUAAUCUGUACAGAAAUGUAUGGGAAAAUAAAGCCAGAAUUUUUUAAACAGUCAUAUAAAUGAAACGAGAGAGGAAAGAAUGGGAAAGGAUAUGAGAUGCCCAAUGUGGAAAUUCAUUUUACUUGAUUAUCCAUAUUUGUCGACAAAUAGUUUUAUUUUUAUUUUUCCAUUAGUUGAGAAGGUAGGACAAUAAAUGCUUGAUAAUUGGGGGCAAGUAGAGAGAAGAAUAAAUAAAAAUAAUACUAAAAAGAAAGGAAAUGAGAAUUCCUAAGAAAAGGAAAGAGAGUUAGUAGCUUAGAACAGUAAGUACAAAAUGUAACUCAGAGACUCCUUGAAAACCAGUUUGGACCAACAGAGAUCAAUAAUUCUUUAAGACAACAGAAAAUACUAAAAUCAAGUUAAAAGACAGGAGAAAAUAGAAGGAAAUAUAAGUUAUCUCCUAGUGGAAACAACUGAAAUGGUAAACAGGCUAAGGAGAUAUAAUCUAAUAACUAUUAGACUAUAUGAAAACCUCAACCAAAAGAUAUAUACCAUAUUUCAAGAAAACACGAAAGAAAGGCUUCUUAGAGCCAAGAACAUAAUGAAAAUAUACAGAAACCAUUAGCCAUCUCUUGAUAUAAAACUUAAAAUGAACAUUCAGAAACAAAAGAACUAUAAUCUGGAGCUUCCAAAUCAAAGAAGAACUACUGCAAGCAGCUAAGAAGAACAAUUUAGGUACCAGGAAACAGUUAAUAUCUCAAAAGACCUGACACCUACCACAUUAAAAGAGAAGAGAGCUUGGAAUAAUAUAUUCUCAAAGGUAAAAGAUAAAGACUUACAACCAAGGAUUACUAUCUAUCAAAGCUGAGUAUAAUUUUACAGGGCAGAAAUUAAAAAAAUAGAAAUUCACAAAAAUUCUUAAUGAGGUAAACAGAACUGAGUACAUACUUUGCUGUGCAAACACUGGACUAAAAAGAAACAUAAGAAGAUAAAUACAUUUGAACAAUUAGAAGGAAAAGUAUGAUGAUGAAGGGUUUGUAUUCUAAUGGGAUGAGAAGAAAAAUAUUCCCUUAGAAUCCUAAUUCUUUUAGGGACAAUAAUGGAAAUAAGUAAGACAGUACCUGUGAGCAGCUUUGUUAUAUCUUGAUGAUCCUUAAAAGAAAAAAAAAGGAAAGGAAAAAGUAUUAGGGGAGAUUGAGGCAGGAAGGGAAUCUUAGGAUCAUCGAUGAUAGAAUGAUAGUACUUGAGGCCAUUGAGUCUCUCUCAUUUUACAAAUGAGGAGAAAGGUUGAAAGAUUAUGAUUUUGCCAGUCAUACAACUAAUAAGUGUCUGAUGCUGGAUUUGAACUCUUUUCCUCUUAACUCUAAGUCCAUAGCCACUAUAUUACCUACCAGCCUAAGGGUACAUUUUAACUAUCUUGCAUAAUUAGAAUGCAUGAGAAGACUGUAUAAAUGCAGAAGAAAGGAGAAAGUAUAGCAGACUUCAAAUGAACCUCACUUAACUGGACAAAAAAAGAGUUAUACACAGAUUGGGGUUUUAAAAAAAGUCAAAUUCAGUAGUGAUACAAAGCAGUGAUAAAGAGGGGGAUAGUAAGAGGAUGGAUUAUACCUGGAAGCAGAUAGUUGCAAGCAAAAUAAUACCCUGAUUCCCAAGAGGAUAUUAAAAGGGAAAAUAGCAAAGAAUUGGAAUGGGGGGGGGGGUAUUCUUCAGUUGAGGAAUGGAUAAACAAAUUGCUUAUGAAUAAAUAAUAGUAUUGUGCCAUAAGAAUUAUAAAAUAGAUUAUUUCAGAGUUCUGGAAAGUAUGAAAUUAUAUAAAUUGAACAGAAGCAGGAGAACAGAUUUUACUGUUCUAACAAUAAUAACAAGAUUGUAAAGAAAUAUAACUUUGUAAAACUUAAAAUACUCUCAUCAUGUGGUGACUAUUUCCAGAGGACCUAUGAUGAAGCAUGUUACCUUCAGGAAGAUGAUUAACUCAAGGUGCAAAAAAGACACACAUUGUUUUAACUGACCUUUGUGGGUUUAUUUUGUUUAACUAUUUGUUACAAGAGUUCUUUCUUCCUCUGUUUUUGAGGAGUCAAGGAAGUGAGGGGGUUAGAAGUAGUAAUGAAUGUCAAAGGAAGAGAACUCUUAUUCUUUUGGAAUGCACAGAAAAGAACUAAGAAAAGUUCAGAAGGAAACACAAAUAAGCCAUAAAGUUUCUAAAUGUGGAAUUUGUCAUGUCCAACAAUUGCUUUAAAAAUCUGUUGUAAACAAUUUUUUUAAAUAAGUGGUAUAAAAUUGAGGUUUACGGGUUCAUAAUUAUUUUAUUCUACUUUGUAUGUAAUCACAGUUCUGUGUGUGUGUGUGUGUGCAUAUGUGCAUUUAAGUUUAGAGGGUUUUUUUAAUAGGUUCUUUAAAAAAUAGAAAAGAGAAAUCCUGACUUGACUACUAAGGUACAUAGUUGUAAAACUAAAAAAUUACAAAGGAAAAUAAUUUUCCAAGAAUAAAGAAAGUAAAAAAGUCAUAUAUAAGUAAUAGUACCAUUUAAAGAAAUAUCUGAGAUUUUUGGUAAUUUAAAAAAAAAUUUAAGAGUUGGACAAAAAAAGACAAACUUUUUAAAAUUGUAUUACAUAUAAAAUUACAUACAUUGAGCAGCCAUAUCACCUCUAAAACAAAUAAGAUAGUAGACUUUAUCAAUAAAAAAACCAUCACUAAAUAUAUCCCUAAAAUUAGUGGAAGAGGAAAGCUAAAUUGCCUGAAUUUGAUAAAUGACUAAAAAUAAUAGCAAUGCAAUGUCUUUGGUUAAGAUAAAUAUAGGUUGUCCAAUAAAUUUUUAUUUUCAUUGGAGAUUUCCCACUUUAUUUCCUUCUUCUCAAGAAUAUGCCAGAAGAUAGGCUGCUUAUGCUACAAACCAACCUGAAAUAUUUUGACAAAGUUCUAAAAGUCCUAACUACUCUCAACAUGCAGAGUGGAAUCUGUCCUUUGCUUCUAUGAGGAAAUUCAGACCUCUGACAAACAAAAUAUAAAUGAAUAAUAAAUAUGGGGGAAGAACCUUACUGAGAAUUGGAGGUGAAUUUUAAACCUUUACAGACUCCAUUGCUUUAUUUGCUAACCAUCUUUACUCUGUUCCCCUCCUAUAAUAGAGAACAAGUCUAUUGAAUUGGUGAAAAGGAUUUUGACUGCACUGCCUGCCUGUAUCUUGUCUUUUCCUUAUAUUAUUGUAUUUACUGAUUGCUUUAAGGUUUACAUUUUUUAAGUUUAUUUGUAUUAAUCUAAUCAAUAUCUUUCUGUUAUACUGAAUUGUUUAAAGCUAUUAUGUUUUGCCUAUAUUGAUCUUUAUUUUGUACUUUUGCUGAAGAACAAAAUAUCAUUGUAUAAGCCUGUGAACAUCUUGCCCAAACCCUUGUCACUAGAUCCAUCAAAGAUCACAUGUUGCCUUUGUUAAUUGUCACAUGGAUGAUAAUGGAUGGAUUUCAACAAAACUGGUUAAAUUGUUUGGAGAAUUGAAUGAGCUAAGAAUUUAAAUGGUAAUUCUACGGGGUGUUCAGAAAUAACUUUAGUAACUAGUAGUUUCUGAAUGGAUGAUAUAUAUAUAUAUAUAUAUAUAUAUAUAUAUAUAAUAAAGAAUGUUGUAUUAAAGAUAGAGAAACAAAGAAAUGUUCCUACCAAGGUGUUUCUAUGUAAUAGGAAGCCGAAAAAAGAGCUCCAGCAAAACUCUUCAUUUUAAUUUACUUCUACCAGAACAAUCUAGAUUUCUUGAUGAUGUUCUAGACCCAAAUAAGUUUUACUUUGUUUAAAAAUAUGUUUGCCAAAGUUGAAAGAUUUGCUAUAUCUGUAAAAUUCUGGCAAAUACCCAUCAGUUCAUAGGGUUUUUUUUAUGUCAUACAGCAAGUUAUAUGAAAUAUGAUAGUGAGUUUGUUUGCUAUUGUAAUUAACUGGGCUAUUUUGAAUUUUGGGGACUUUAGUACUUCUUUGAAUGUGCAUUAUCUACUGUGUUACUGUUUUGUUCUGAAAAUCAUUUGUACUAACACAUGGCUGAUAAAGUGUGUCACUAAUUUUAAGCUA